UGGGAACGUACCCUUCGGUUCGGAAUAACUCAGGGAAACUUGAGCUAAUACCGGAUAAGCCCUUACGGGGAAAGAUUUAUCGCCGAUGGAUCGGCCCGCGUCUGAUUAGCUAGUUGGUGAGGUAACGGCUCACCAAGGCGACGAUCAGUAGCUGGUCUGAGAGGAUGAUCAGCCACACUGGGACUGAGACACGGCCCAGACUCCUACGGGAGGCAG
rnacentral:rRNA from 1 species